rnacentral:lncRNA from 1 species
AUGCAGCUGGCUGGAUUUGUCCUGAGGAAGAAAUUUCAGCCAGGCUUUAUUGCUGGUGCUCAGAGUAAUGCUGUGGGGCCGGCUGGCAGCACCCCUGGGUGUGCUGAGGAGACACAGGGAUGUCCCCGUGGUGGGAAAGGCACCCCCGGGCUGCGAUGCUACCUGAGGUCUACAGCACGCCAGGAUGGGGUGUACGACUGCCUGGCAAGCCUGCUGGUGGCUGGGCAUCGUGCAAGCUGCAUCCGAACCCUAAAACAUCAAUUUAGGGAUGGGGAUAUGUGCACAGCCAGCUCGAGCCAGGGGCCAGGAGCUCCCAUCCCUGCAACUCCAACUUCUCAGGCCUCAUGUCCCUUGGCAGGGGGCUCACCUACCAGCUCAGCCCUGCUUUCCUGGGGCCCUGCUUUCCCUUUGGCAAGGUCUGGGGCUGUGGGAGGUAUGCACUGGUCAGCUGAAACCACCCCAAAUCAGUGCCAGGCGCACAGGAUUCCUACAUCACCAGCUCAGAACACAGAGAUUGUAAGGGAGACAUCUCCCUCUGCCCCCCUGAGCCCAGGGGACCCUUCUGCUCCCGCAGCCCCCCACGGGCACACGCCGAUGCCGACCCAGCCUCGUGCUGUCCCCUCGAUGCCUCCACACUGGGGCUUGGCUGGGCCAGCUGGGAUGCGCAGCCAAGGGGCAGCAGCAGCAGAAAUCACGGCCAAGUCUGGCGCUAAGAGCCUUGGAAAGCGAGCGAAAGCUCCAGCCCUUUGGCCUGGCCCCAUCAGAGCUGAGCUGGGGAUUAGAGAAGCUUCGGUCCCUCCGCGGUGCCUGUGCGCAGCAAACCCCCAAGGGGCAGGUGCCCCGUCCUCUCCCUUUAUCAAGGUGUGUUUAUCAUGGUUUUUCACACAGAAAAAUGUAAAGAUGGGGAAGAGGGUCCCCAUGGCGCACACAGCCCUUUCCAUGCACAGCAGUUCUGGGUGCUUUGCUGGGGAAACCAUGGCAUGGAGGGGACCUGCCACCUCCUGCGGGUGGCCACAGAGCUCCCCACAUCUCAGAACAUGUCCUGGGGAACCAGGAUGGCUGGUUCGAGUCCUCCUAAAUCCCCCACACAAACUCCUAUGCACACCCUGCUGCAUUCCCACUCCAUGGUGGGGUUUUUGGGGAGCCGGACCCUCACCCCAAAUGCUCCCCCAAAAAGUGCUGCCAUGGCAGAAGCGAGCUUUGCCACUCAGCAUCUUGCAGUCACACCGGGUGGAAGGGAACCUGAUAAAUCAAUCCAUCUCUAACGGCAGGGAAAGGCUGGCGAGCCUCCUCGGGAUGCUCUCGGGUCCUUCUCCGGUAGCCAUCGGCAUGGCAACGGUCGCCAAGGAAACCGCCUCCAUGGCGACGCAUCCCUGGAUGCAGGCGAUGGGCGAUGUCCACAGGCACACACACCCCAACCCCGGGCUCUGCUUCCCCAGGGGGGUCGUGGGGAAGGGAAUGGCACUGGGGGGGGCACAAGGGGUGAGCUGGGGAAGAGCAACCCCAAAAAGCACAGAGCAGCUCCCAGGCAGGAGGCUCUGUGAGCAGGGAGAUCCCGACAGAAAGCCCCGCACACGCUUUCCAUGGGAUUUAGGAGAGGGUCAGGGGAUCUCCCCGCACCCCUGGAUGGGGUGCAUCCACCCCAGUCUGGGUGCCUGA